rnacentral:rRNA from 1 species
UACAGAGGGGGCAAGCGUUAUUCGGAAUCAUUGGGCGUAAAGGGCGCGUAGGUGGCCCGGUCAGUUCGUGGUGAAAGCGCGGGGCUCAACCCUGCGUCGGCCAUGAAUACUGCCGCGGCUGGAGCACUGUAGAGGCAGGCGGAAUUCCGGGUGUAGCGGUGGAAUGCGUAGAGAUCCGGAAGAACACCGGUGGCGAAGGCGGCCUGCUGGGCAGUUGCUGACACUGAGGCGCGACAGCGUGGGGAGCAAACAGGG